GAUUGCUGGAUUGGAGUUUCCCUAACGACUCAGUCAUUAUUUUAUUCUGACGUUUCAUAUUUGUGUCUUCACAAUUAUUUUUCAUCCAAACGACAGCAUGCUUCCGAAGCUGAAUCUUUCUAAAAAUAAACCUCCUAGUUAUGCCUCUCCAGUAAACGCCGAAUCAAGACCAAUGAAGUUUCCUUAUACUUUCUCCGCAAAGAUUGCGCAAUUUCCAUAUAGGUUUCACUUCGAAAAUAACUGGCUGUUUAGGUACUACGUUUUUGGAGUCAUUGCUUCUCUUCCAUUUUUUAUAUAUUGCGGAAAGGUAGCAAAUUCUCCUGCAAAUAAGGCGAAGUGGGCAGAAAUUCGUCGUCAAGAAGAGGAAGAGUAUAAACACAAGUUCGAUUGAAAAUGGAUUGGUAUAUAGUUCGUUUACCAAUAUCGAAAGUAGCAAUAAACCGUAAUAAUUCAAAAUUGUUCCAGUAAGAUAUAGGUAGUAAAUGUGUCCAUGCUAAGAAAAAUGAGAAUAAAAAAAAGAACUUUGUAGUUAUCAUUUA